rnacentral:rRNA from 1 species
GACGAACGCUGGCGGCGUGCCUAACACAUGCAAGUCGAACGGAGUGUUUAUUUAUAAACACUUAGUGGCGAACGGGUGAGUAACGCGUAGACAACCUACCCUCUAGAUGGGGACAACACCGCGAAAGGGGUGCUAAUACCGAAUGUUGUAAUGUUGUGGCAUAAUGAUAUUACUAAAGGUGGCCUCUAUAUAAAAGCUACCGCUAGAAGAUGGGUUUGCGUCUGAUUAGCUAGUUGGUGAGAUAACAGCUCACCAAGGCAAUGAUCAGUAGCCGGUCUGAGAGGAUGAACGGCCACACUGGGACUGAGACACGGCCCAGACUCCUACGGGAGGCAGCAGUGGGGAAUCUUCCGCAAUGGACGAAAGUCUGACGGAGCAACGCCGCGUGAGUGAAGAAGGUUUUCGGAUCGUAAAGCUCUGUCUUCAAGGACGAAUGUAGAUAUUGUGAAUAAUGAUAUUUAAUGACGGUACUUGAGGAGGAAGCCACGGCUAACUACGUGCCAGCCGCCGCCGUAA